UACGGAGGGUGCAAGCGUUCUCCGGAUUCACUGGGUUUAAAGGGUGCGUAGGCGGGCCGGUAAGUCCGUGGUGAAAUCUCUGAGCUUAACUCAGAAACUGCCAUGGAUACUAUUUGUCUUGAAUAUUGUGGAGGUAAGCGGAAUAUGUCAUGUAGCGGUGAAAUGCUUAGAUAUGACAUAGAACACCAAUUGCGAAGGCAGCUUACUACACAGUUAUUGACGCUGAGGCACGAAAGCGUGGGGAUCAAACAGG
rnacentral:rRNA from 1 species